rnacentral:rRNA from 1 species
AGUGAACGCUGGCUGUAGGUCUAACACAUGCAAGUCGAACGGCAGCACUGUUAUAGCUUGCUCUUACGGGUGGCGAUUUGCGUACGGGUGAGGAAUACAUCGGAAUCUACUUUUUCGUUGGGGCUAACGUAUGGACACUUCCACUAAUACCGCAUACGACCUACGGCUGAAAGCAGGUGAUCUUCGGACCUUGCGCGAUUGAAUGAGCCGAUGUCGGAUUAGCUAGUUGGCGGUGCAAAGGCCCACCAAGGCGACGAUCCGUAGCUGGACUGAGAGGAUGAUCAGACACACUGGAACUGAGACACGGUCCAGACUAAGACGGGAGGCAGCAGUGGGGAAUAUUGGAGAAUGGGCGCAAGCAUGAUCCAGCAAAACCGCGUGGGUGAAGAAGGACUUCGGGUUGUAAAGCACAUUUGUUGGGAAAGAAAAGAAGCAGGUUAAUACCCCGCUGUUCUGACGGUACCCAAAGAAUAAGCACCGGCUAACUUCGUG